rnacentral:rRNA from 1 species
AUUGAACGCUGGCGGCAUGCUUUACACAUGCAAGUCGAACGGCAGCGCGGGCUUCGGCCUGGCGGCGAGUGGCGAACGGGUGAGUAAUGCAUCGGAACGUGCCCAGUAGUGGGGGAUAGCGCGGCGAAAGGCGGAUUAAUACCGCAUACGACCUGAGGGUGAAAGCGGGGGAUCUUCGGACCUCGCGCUAUUGGAGCGGCCGAUGUCAGAUUAGCUAGUUGGUGGGGUAAAGGCCUACCAAGGCGACGAUCUGUAGCUGGUCUGAGAGGACGACCAGCCACACUGGGACUGAGACACGGCCCAGACUCCUACGGGAGGCAGCAGUGGGGAAUUUUGGACAAUGGGCGAAAGCCUGAUCCAGCAAUGCCGCGUGUGUGAUGAAGGCCUUCGGGUUGUAAAGCACUUUUGGCGGGAACGAAAAGGACUGUGCCAAUACCACGGUUCGAUGACGGUACCCGCAGAAUAAGCACCGGCUAACUUCGUG